UCGUUUGCUGAUGCCAUGUUGAUGGACAACUAGAACACAGAUCCUGCCACGUGAUCCCUUCCUCCUGUGUUAGCGCCUGCCUCCAGCACCCUGAAGAUGCUGUGUGAUAUGUCCUCCUUACCAAGUUGGUGAUGGCUGCCUCAUGGUGGGCCCUGGACAGGUGUGUGGUCCUGCUGAGCUGUCCACGUGUCGGAAGACCUGUUUAAGACAGUCAUUUUUGCCUCUCCGCCAACUGUCUUCAGAGAAACCAUUAGGUUAGGUGAUACGGUGCCAGCAAGGGAAGCACCAUCGUCCAGGAUCUGCAAAUCUGGUUCCUGGGAACCCCAGACUCCUCAGCAGAUCUGGCUGUACAUGGAUCAGAACCACUUCUUCCCCCGCUUAAGCUGUGGUUUGACCCAAGGGUCAGCAUAUAGGACUGCCUGCUGCAUUUAAUGAAGGUGUUUCCUUUUGGAAGUCUGUGCUACCCUCUGCGCCUAGUUGGGAGGAGACAUCCAUCUGGUCUGGGAUUUCGGGAGUUAGAAUGGAAAGCUCUUUGCUAAAGACUGG
rnacentral:lncRNA from 1 species